AUUGAACGCUAGCGGCAUGCUUUACACAUGCAAGUCGAACGGUAAAAGGCCUUCGGAUGCUGACGAGUGGCGAACGGGUGAGUAAUGCAUCGGAACGUGCCCAGCCGUGGGGGAUAACGCAACGAAAGCAGGGCUAAUAACGGAUACGAUCCAGGGAUGAAAGCGGGAGACCGUAAGGGCAGGCGCGAUUGGAGCGGCCAAUGUGAGAUUAGCGAGUGGGUGGGGGAAAGGCCCACCAAGGCGACGAUCUGUAGCUGGUCUGAGAGGACGACCAGCCACACUGGGACUGAGACACGGCCCAGACUCCUACGGGGGGCAGCAGUGGGGAAUUUUGGACAAUGGGCGCAAGCCUGAUCCAGCAAUGCCGCGUGCAGGAAGAAGGCCUUCGGGUUGUAAACUGCCUUUGUACGGAACGAAACGGUCUGGGUUAAUACCCUGGGCUAAUGACGGUACCGUAAGAAUAAGCACCGGCUAACUACGUGCCAGCCGCCGCCGUAA
rnacentral:rRNA from 1 species